UACGUAGGAUGCAAGCGUUAAUCGGAAUUACUGGGCGUAAAGCGUGCGCAGGCGGUUGUGCAAGACAGAUGUGAAAUCCCCCGGGCUUAACCUGGGAAUUGCAUUUGUGACUGCACGGCUAGAGUGUGUCAGAGGGGGGGUAGAAUUCCACGUGUAGCAGUGAAAUGCGUAGAUAUGUGGAGGAAUACCGAUGGCGAAGGCAGCCCCCCUGGGGAUAACACUGACGCUCAUGCACGAAAGCGUGGGGAGCAAACAGG
rnacentral:rRNA from 1 species